GAAAUGCGAUAAUUAAUGUGAAUUGCAGAAUUCAGUGAAUCAUCGAGUCUUUGAACGCACAUUGCGCCCCCUGGUAUUCCGGGGGGCAUGCCUAUCCGAGCGUCAUUGCUGCCCUCAAGCACGGCUUGUGUGUUGGGCUUCCGUCCCUGGCAACGGGGACGGGCCCAAAAGGCAGUGGCGGCACCAUGUCUGGUCCUCGAGCGUAUGGGGCUUUGUCACCCGCUCCCGUAGGUCCAGCUGGCAGCUAGCCUCGCAACCAAUCUUUUUAACCAGGUUGACCUCGGAUCAGGUAGGGAUACCCGCUGAACUUAAGC
rnacentral:misc_RNA from 1 species